UUGAGUUUCAACUAAAUAGACAAGGUUUUUUGUUUGAAACUUGAUCAAAUCACUACUUGGCCGGUACUAAAACAUUUCAAGAAGGAUUUCUACAUAACUUAAACUUCUUCGAAUGAGAAACAAAUAAGAGAAGCGUGAAAGGAGGAAACAGAAGGAGGAGUAUCUCGGAUUCUCUCCCAAUUUAUUUGGCUCUCCAACUUCCACAAUUUCCGAAAUGAAUAUUCGUUAUCUAUCUUACGAAAACAAAUGAUUUUUGUCAAAUCUGAUGGUUACAAUUAGGAUCUUUAUUGCGAUCCAACGUCCCAGACUUUUUCAUGCGCUUAAACUUUUUUUUUUUUUUUGAUACUAACCGCUUAAACUUCUCUUCCGUUACAAAUCCUUAUCACACCAAUAAAUUAGGGUUUUCUUCUCAAACCCAUUUCGCUCUUUAAACUUAAUCUCCUCAUGCAGCCAAGCUAACGAAAUUUCAGGGCUAAUAUUCUCUAAUUGUUUGGCCGUUAUAGAAACCAUCAAUAACAACAUUAUUUUCUCUAUUGAAUCCUAUUCAUACCCAGCUAAUUAAUCAAUUUGAUGCGUUACGUUUCUCCAUUUCUUUCAAAUUUUCCCUACAUAAAUAUCAACAGAGGUUAUCAUCUAGCCAGGUUUCACCAUUCCUUUCUUCAAGACUACUAGGAAUUAAUUUGAAUUAAUUUGAAUUAACCAGGGGGAUGAACUGCAUGGUGUUGUACCACAUAAACUCAUCUGGAAGUUCGAUAUAUCGCUACGCCUUGGUGGAAUAUAUUCCAUUCUUGGUGAGAAAAUAUCUUUAGCCCUGCUAUUAUGUCUAUGUCAUUCCAAUUGCGAAUCCUAGGCAUUUUGAUGGCAUCGGUUACAAUUUAGUCUAUUGGUUCAACUUAAUGUCACAGCAGUUUCAUUUUCUUGGGGAUCAAUGAUUCAAUAAAAAUGAAGCUCUAGUUUCUUCUUAGUCCCAGGUUUUUUUUUUUUUUUUUUUGAUCGGCAAAGAUAAUGAUAUUAAUCAAGAAGGAAAACUUCUCAAAAGAUGCAAAGCCCUGAAGGUACAAGAGGGCAAAAUGGUAAACUAGAAAACCCAAAAAUAAGAAAAGUGACUACGGAAGAUCAAAGAAAGUCGUCUCCAGUUUACAAUAAUGUCAUCUAGGACAAUAUGAGAGAAAGAACUUAGAGUUUUAACCCAAGAAAAGAUUUGGAUCUUAAUCCCAGGUAUGACUCUGUAUUUUUCAGUUGAGAGAAUAGUUGCUAGAUUUAAAAGCACAUGUGAUCCCGAAGCAAGUUCAUCAUAAAUUUAUUAUCUUUAAGAAAUGAGCUUGAUAGCAUUGUUGUUCCACGGUGGGAAGAGCUUCCGACACAUUGGGAGGAUCCUACUUCGAACCACUUUUAUGGAAUCUGCAUUUCUUCACAGUACAGAAACACAAGUUAUUUAUUAAGACUAUAAAAAUUGAAAUGUCCUGCUAGCAUGUAGCUCCACAAUAAUGUAAAUUCAAUUGUCAUACCUAUGGUGAUUACGUUUGUGGUUUGAUUCGUAUUAUGAUUUCUCUAUGUCAAUGUUAAAACUCAGACUUACAACGCAAAGAUUUUUGAU